rnacentral:ncRNA from 1 species
AUAUGAGGUUCACUUAGAGCCUCGCCAAUCUGGGGAGAUUAGGCAUCCAUUUGGGUAGCAACAGCACCCUUCUGGAGAGACGGCAUCCAGAGGCCGGGUCAUCAGCCCCGGUCGGAACCGUUUC